CAAUAACAUUUGGUCAAUAAUAUGUAAUAUACUGCUACAGAAAAUUAACAAGUCAUUAUUAUUUUUAUCUUCUAGGUCGAGAGCUCUUUUCAAAAUUUGGUACACGUCGCAGGCCACGCAAUAGACAACUCAUAUACAAUAGGAAUGAAAUAUUCACUUACUGAGAACACUGACUCCUUUUUUUUUUUCCUUCCAAUAAUUUAAAGUCAAAGUAUUUUUGUGGUAGCUGUGCUCCAGAUGACACCCAGUAAUAUUUGUCCUUAAUUUUGAUUUGGGAGUGCUUUAUUCUGGAAAUCAUCUUAUCACAUAUGUACGUGCUACCAAAGAUGGUGAAGAUUCUUGCUACCCGCAUUCCUAAAGGGACACUGUGGGCAUUGUACCUACACCUAUCUGUAAGUGGUUAUAGUAUCGUGCCCACUUGCGCUGUUCAUGUUUUAUUGCUAAAUCAGACUGCUCAGCAGCCCAUCCCCUCUUUGCUGCUUGGACUAAUUAGCCUGAGCAGCUUUGAUUAGCUAAGAGUAUCCGCUGACUGCUUUCAGUCUGUAACACCGCCCAUUGCUGGUAAUGAAUUUAUAUGGCUACAAGUAAGUGUGUAAUCUCUUCUUUUCCAUAGCUCUAGUUGGGGCAGACUGUGGGUGGCCAGGGAUCCUCAUUCAGAGUUAUAGAGCUUGAAAAUGGUUUAACAUAAACAAAGGGACAGUGCCAGACGGUUCCAGGUACUCUAACCAAUUCAAUGAAAUGAAAUGGCUAUAGUGCCCAAAAUGUCCCUUUAAAUUGACAUUUAUUUUUGGUAAAAUUAUAAUAGAGACACUUAAUUAAAUUUGAUCUUCUAUUCUAAACCACACUGACUUUCAUUUGGAGGUCCCCUGAAGUCUCCAUUACAUUCACAGUGAAGUGGUUGGUUACCAGUUCGGGGUCUUUUCUUGGAAUCUCUCUUGGAACUCUGUCACUCAUGAAAUCUUGGAACUGAAAUAUUGCAGCCACAUUAAGGAGUGUAUGACUGCAAUUUCAACAUGCUUUGGAAAAGAGUUAAAUUCUGUUCUUGAGGAGUUCUAAUUUCACUGGAAAAGCUUUGAUGUGAACACAGGAUAUGCACCAGUUGAUCUUUUGACUGAGCCUUCAAAUGUAAUUUAUUCAAAUGAGAAGAAAUGUCCACACGUCACAUUGAAGGGUCUAGCUGGCAAAAAGCAGCUUGCGGGAUAUAGGCUGAGCACCCCUGUUCUAGGUAAACCAUGUUGUGGUUAUCAUCAUCAUGUUAGGAAAAAAAUAUAUAAUGCGUAUACAUUGUUAGGUUAGAGAAGGUGUUAAUAACCGUUAACCCUUACACUACUUUAACGCUAACCUAAAAAUAUCAUGUCUUUUACAAAAUAUUUGACAACAAAGCACAUAAUAUGGGAAAAUAAUUUCAUCUUGGGGUUCUGGAGCGCAUUAUCCUCCUCCUAGGAAAUCAUUAUUCAAUGCUUUUCUUACGGGGAUUCCGGCAACGUUGGAGGUCCUCGUGCAAAGCGUGAGUACAUCCAGCGUUGUUUAAAACACUUUUCGUGUUUUAAGAAGCAGGAAGUCCCUCUAUUGGCUGACUGAUAGACAGCCACUAGAGGAGGACGUAACCCUGCAAGGUAAUUAUUGCAGUUUAUAAUAAAAAUUCAAUAAUUACACAGGGUUAAGGGUGGUGUAAGUUGGCACCCAGACCACGCCAAUGGGCAGAAGUGGUCUGCCUGGAGUGUCCCUUUAACAACAGGUCCUCGUUCAGUAAAUAACCCUCUGAAUCAAUGAUAUUCUCUAUGACACACAAUUCUUGGAACCAAUUGUUUCAAAACAAAGACAAAAAAUUAAAAACAUACCCUUUAACCCCUUAAGGACACAUGACAUGUCUGACAUGUCAUGAUUCCCUUUAAUUCCAGAAGUUUGGUCCUUAAGGGGUUAAAGCUGUACAGUUUCAGGAUAUUCAAAGGGUUAAUUACCCUUUGUCAUUAAAUGUUACAAUUCUAUAAAAUAAGUUAUAAACUUGCCUGGAAUGCAGCCCCUAGCAAACCUCCCUGUGCUGGAUCACUUAAUUAGCAGAUCAUUUUUACCAGCGCAGAGUGCAUCCACUCUCUGGGGCGGGAGGGAGUGAGGGGAAAAAAACAUGAAAUAUUGCAGGGAGGACUAAAAUAAGGGAGAUGCACAUUCAAGCUUCCUUUUGCAGGCACUGCUUGCAAGGCUAGAAGCUAAUAAUGUCUGUCAGCAGUGUGCAGUGCAAGCACGCGACAGAUAAUAUUUUGCACAGAAUUGAUAUUAGGUUGCCUAAGUUACGUGUGCAGGAGGUGCAACUAGCCCCAGGAACAAAAGUGCAAAUAUCUCCGUAUGUGCAGCAUUUCAAGCAGAAACACUGCACAUUCACACUCCUCCCACAAUGGUCACAGCUAUGUGCAGUGACUUGCAAAUCAGCUGAUCGAGCAUGUGCACCGCAUUGGCUGUCCCUACAGAGAAUAGAUCAAUCAGUCAAAACUGUGUGUGCAGUAUGCACACUCCAUAUGUUCCUGGCCACCCACAGUGCUGCUCCAACUUGAGGUACUGCUAAGGCAAGUAUAUAGUUACAUAGUUGCAUAGCUGAAAAGAGACUUGCGUCCAUCAAGUUCAGCCUACCUCACAUUUGUUUUUUUGCUGUUGAUCCAAAAGAAGGCAAAAAAACCCAGUUUGAAGCACAAUUUUGCAACAAGCUAGGAAAAAUGUCCUUCCUGACCCCAGAAUGGCAGUCAGAUUUAUCCUUGGAUCAAGCAGUUAUUACCCUACAUUGAAAGAUUAUAUCCUUGAAUGUUCUGUUUUUGCAAGUAGGCAUCUAGUAGCCGUUUGAACAUCAGUAUGGACUCUGAUAAAACCACUUCUUCAGGCAGAGAAUUCCACAUCCUGAUUGUUCUUACAGUAAAAAAACCUUUCCUUUGCCUUAGACGAAAUCUUUCUUCCAGUCUAAACGCAUGGCCUCGUGUCCUAUGUAAAGUCCGGUUUGUGAAUAGAUUUCCACACAAUGGUUUGUAUUGGCCCCGAAUAUAUUUGUAUAAUGUUAUCAUAUCCCCUCUCAGGCGACGUUUUUCUAAACUAAAUAGGUUUAAAUUUGUUAACCUUUCUUCAUAGCUGAUAUGUUCCAUUCCUUUUAUUAAUUUUGUAGCCCGCCUCUGCACUUUUUCUAGUGCCAUAAUAUCCUUCUUUAGAACAGGUGCCCAAAAUUGCACAGCAU
rnacentral:lncRNA from 1 species